rnacentral:piRNA from 1 species
GAAGCCAUAAUGUGUUAUUUGUACUGAAG